AGCUGAAGUUGCCAAGGGGGAAAAAGCAGAACUCUCAAAAAUAUUGCAAAGAAAAGUAUUCUUCAGAUUUUUCAACCCCUCAUGAAGCCAAAGUACGCAUAUCUAUUUAGAUUUGCAGCAGAAACAGAAGCAACUAUUGCUCUGUGCAGAAGUAGGAACGACUGCAGGUUUUAGAAGGAAUGCUUUAAUUGGAGUAGAUAACAUAGCUCCCAGAUUCGGGGCAGGUUAGUGCUUUUUCAGACAAACCUUACUCACUGAUCUGGACUGCUAUCAGUAGUGGAAGGUUCACUGUGAAGUCUUGCUACCAAAGCCUCACGACCGU
rnacentral:lncRNA from 1 species